rnacentral:lncRNA from 1 species
CAAAGAUGAUGCCGCACACUUGCGUGUAGGUAAUUGAUUCAGAAAGCUUGACCGGGCAGCCAAUUCCCUUCCAGCAGUUCUUGUACUCGACCUUCCACAGCGCUGACAGGUUACCGACGGCGAACACGAAGUAGGCUUCGCAGAACUGCGAGGAGGGGGGCAGGGAGGUGGGUGGAGGCGGCCCCGACACAACUUAGUCAUUAAGUGUGUACACAAAGCAAUACUAAACACAUCAGACUGCUGAAACCUGUAAAAGCCUGGCUGGGUUCACCCGACCUGCACACAACAGCUCGUGUCUGAAUAAUCUGAUAAUCACAACUACGCACCAUGCCCAGACCAGGAAUCAUAAAGCUCGCCAGGAACAGGAAAAACCUGUGCAGACAGGAACACGAUAAGACGCUGUGUGCUUGGCGGCGUGAGAAAGCUCAUUUGUAACUGACCGCACGAUGGGAUUCCGGUGCUGGACCUCCUCGUUUUCAUCCUUGACAGCGCUUGCUAGCGAGUCCUCUGCGUGGUGCAGACUCUUCUCGUGUGCCUUUUCGGCGUCCAGGCCUGCCAUCGCGCGAAGAUAGACGAGACCUUUCAACGUUGAUGGUACUCUAAGCGGCAAGCAAGCUCGCGGGCAAAGCCGGGUUGUACAAAUAUAUAAACUUGUUAAGGGGAGGUCUUAUUAUAGUCGGAGGACACUACAUGCAGUCUUCACGAGAAUUGCCCAUUGGAAGAUUCCAUAGGCCGAAAACCGACGGCGGCGCCGCCGACGCGGGUCCCGGCUUGCCUCGCGUUACCAGUGAAUUGCUGAAGUUAUGUCCUUUAAGGCUUCAGGAGAAACACUCUCACACAUGGAAUGUGUCAACUCUCCAGUGUGUCACACUCAGCCGGCUUCUUUCUUGGUUCGCAGACGCGCACCCGUUCGCAAACCAGGAAACCAGCCAGGCCCGCGCUUCCCCUCCCCCAAACCCCCAAGCUGGCCACGCUCACCUACUCCAGGUCCCGGACCUUGUACAGUGAGCGCCCAUCCGCUGUCGCCCUGUAGCAACCGGGUUGCCCUGUAGUAAAGCGGAACUCGGCAUCAGUAGGGUAGCGCUUGAAGAACUCUGGUGUCAGCACCAGCAAGCCCGUGGCCGCCGGUGCCAGGGUGAGCUCGCACAUCAAAUACGCUGCACGCUACGGGACUACGCCAACCUGCCCCUUACCCUGUCCCAUCACACCCCACGCGCCCACGCCCGCCCGCCCAUCUCCAGCCCUCCGCCGGUGCUGCUCCUGCGCCUGCGAAGCUCAUGCGUGUGCAUCUAAGUUUGCUUAAGAAUUGCGCGGCACACUCAAGAUAGCCUGUCCGUCCUUGGUUUUGGUUCUGCUACAGCAAGUGUUUUCCGUAUGGCAAGUUGUGGAAGGGCCAACUAAAGCACUUCAGCCCAAUGCCUGCGUACAGGUGCGGUGCCAAGCUCUCUGCCUUUCGUUCCUCUAUCUGGCCAAGCGCAUUUCGCCAUGCCUUAAAGCGCGCGCUUCUUGCCUGAUACAGGCCGUAGCCUUAGCUGAUUGCAGAGAGCUCUUUGUCCCUCCCCAUCAAGCCAUGUGCGCACCUGCGGUCGCGCCAGGCCGCCGCACUCCAACUCCGUCGCCCGCGCCGCCGCAACCGCCACGGUUCAUGCUCGCCGCUGCCCAAAUGGGGUCGGCCCGCUGGCUGCUGCGCCCGCCGCCUCCGCCCAGGCUUAGCGCCGUGAACAGCGUGCCCCAAUCGGGCUGCUGCGCCUGCUGCUGUGCCUGUGGCAGCUGCUGCCCAGGCACCGCCGGCUGCUGCUCGGCCGCUGCUGCCCCGGUACCAGAACUACCAUCCUGCAACGAGUGAGCAGGUGUUCAAAUCAGUGACCAGGCUUGACCACCCAGGUGCUCAAACAAUGCGGUCCCGCGGCACCAGGCUUCACACCCGGUCAAACCGCUCGCCCCACCUGGCACGCCGCCGCCCCGUUAGCAGCAGUGGUGCUGCCGCCGGAGCUCCUCCGGUGGCCCUGUUGCAGCGGCUGCUGUGGCAGCUGCCCUGCCUGGCCGCCCUCCUCGUCCACGUCCACGACGCCGUCGGGAUCGGAUUACCCCGUAGAUGCUCACUUGACGUGGCCCCAAAGAGGCGACCUGGAGCGCCGGACAACAGCGACUUGAAUUUACCAAACGGAGAUACGUCAGGGAGAGAGACCAGAUCCAAGCCGUCGCGACGCGCAUCCGCUCUCCGUAUACCAUGUGGGAUUGUGAUGGCCUGGCUACUUUAGCCUCUAGGCGCGUGCCACACGGGCGCGCCCCUGCGCGCUACGCCCCUCGGGUCCUUCCGUGUGCCAGGUCCUUCCGUGCAUGUUAAGCCCUCCCGUGACAUGUCAUUGCCUCACCUUACAACACCAUUGGUACUGUGUCCAUGCCAUCGUCGCCGUGGACGGCCGUGCUGGCCCGCUGGUGACAAAGGAUGGCGAGGGGGGUUGCGACCCUACUCGUCAUCCAACGCCUGCUGCUCCAAGUUGUUAUUACGCGCUGCGUGGGCGCCAUUAGAUUUAAGGACUGGGCCAGACCUCCUGCGCUUUGAUCCACGUCCGAGAAAGGACAGCCUCAGCCUCAGCCCCUCGUCAGGCGCUAGGUAUAUGGAUACGAGUAGUUAGGCCAGCGCUUAACCUAUGCGUGAUAUGUAUACAAGGGUCAAACAAAAUUGCGGGCUUGGGUGCAGCUUUCCUGGCAGCUUUCAAUUGAUCUCGGCAAAUGUAUAAGUUGAGGCAAAUAAAGGUGUGCAAUAUUGCACGCGGACAUGUGCAAUCGCUCGCGAUUGAUGGCACGACUUCGCCAGCCAGCAGGUUCCCGGGUUUACCCUCGCCAAACGUUUGGCCAGCGCCACCACCAGCCACCAGCACCACCACUCAGCAUAUGGGAGACAAUACCCACCAUUCAUGCACAACGUGCGCGGCUGAGGUGCACAGCGCAUGGCUGCCGGGUGGCUGCCGCGCCUGCCAUCAGGGUCGUCGCGUCUGUGCCCUUGGAUGCGUUGCCAUCUGUACCCCUGUUUCUUUUGUCCACGCUUACCUGGGCGACAGCACGAGCGUGAGCAGUGCUCUGCAGCGGCACCAACUGCGGCACCACCGGCACCGUGCGUGCACAGCUAGAGGCGUCUGGAACACCCGGGAGCGGUGGGCAGUGGCGGUGCGCAUCUCUCCUGCACACCACGCCAGCCACCUGUUGCUUGUGCGGGGCAUGACGCCGAUAUGGCUGACAGCCCCCGCCUGCUCUCUUCUCUAAGGACACUGCCUGCGACGCCUGCGUGGGUGUGUGCUCGUACCGUAUUGUUGCUCCCUGUCCACACAUGGGCCUCGCAGCAAUCGGACAUGUGCUUAGGUGAAGUGGGAGCUGAUGGUGCGGCGCAGAAUAGCGUAGGGUAUCCGGCCCGCUGCCAUUUUCAUGGCGGCUUGUAAAGUCAGUGAUGGUCGGUUACACCUCUGACAGCCUCCGUCUAUGCCACGGCUCCACUGCUACGAGCCCAUAGCCUCACCGGCGGCGCACCAUGGGCUCUCCCAUGUACUGCUCCUCUCAUCCAAACUCAUCCUGCACAGUCCUGACCUAUAACGUUGAUUCAACGCCAUUAAGACGCUCGCUCGCUCAUCAUACCGUAGCCGCUCUCCUGCCUCUCCACCUCAGCAGGCCUGUGCACUGCGCGCGACCCGAAGCUCGCCACCUCUCCGCACUAGGCACGCCUGUCCACCACCACUACCGUACUCCUGCUGGGCGCGCUCAAGGACAUGCCGCGUUCAGCUGUGUGCAUACCAGCCGCGGCGAGUCAAUCAGCUAUGAUAUCGCGUGCACGCAUGGUGCACAAGCCACAAACGCACACGCUCUGGUAGGCAGAUCCGGUUCGACAGAACUGGUAACAAGGCCUGUGGACACGCCCAGAGGCACCUCCAGGUGCGGCUUAAUGAGCCACUAGGCCACUCGCUGAAUCCAUCAGGACUCUCGAUACGGUAGUCUACAAGGACAGAGCAUAUUGAGCACUUGAGCAGGUGCCGGACGCUCUCCCGCAAGACAACAAUGUGAUGGGGUUUCAGGGCAUGCCAAACCCGCCAGACACACAUGCACGACAUGCUGGACUGAUUGGGGCCCUACCACACUAGCCCAGGCAUAUGCGCGCGUAAUUGUGUCUUUUGGCCCCAGAAAGUAUCCCUACAACAUCCUAGGCAGCCUACGCCAUGAGUGGCUCACGGAGAAACUUGACAUCAAACGGUGCAAGGGCAAGAGCCCACGCACGGGUAUGCACGUUGGGUUUGCCUACACGCUGACCUACACGCCACCGAUGAAUGAACACCCUGCACUGCAACAGCUGCAAUCUCUACGGCUUCGCCGAGUUCAAUGCAACCUCCCACCGGAUACCACAAGAUCCAUUAGAGAUCCUGGGGUGACAUGGGGCUCGCUGGCAUUUUAUGCCGCGCUUUUGCCUCGCUGCUCCAAUCCAUAAUCACAUAGCUGUAGCCCCGAAACAAGCCGGCCGCACUACCAGUGCCGGUCCAUACGGGUCAGUUUGCCUAACAAGCUAUCACCAAUUCUACCAGCACCUACCAAGGAAAGGAGGCCCCAGAACAGGGUCGCCGUGCGUGUCACAUGCACGCGAUAGCCGCCAGGCGAAACUUUCCCCCAAGGUUCCAUCAAAUGCGGUCGUGCCAUGACCCUACCUAUGGUUGACCCAACAACAACACAUCCAAGUCAUUGCAAACAUAGCACAUCUAACUCAGUUUCGGCACGCCAAGGCAGCGUAACGAGCAGCCUAGCUGAAAAAGCUCAUGCGCCACGGCGCUCACAGUAGGCUUGCCCGCACGCCCACUCAACCACGCCCAAGCGCUCGACAAGGUGGCGCCGGCAGCAGCUCGCACGUCUCUACUUGGCAAUGGCGAUGGUUGCCGUGGGCUGCUGCUUGUGCGGCGGCACCAUCUCAGCGCCCUUCAUCGCCAUAGCUGCAGAGGCGCUGGUGGUGGUGGCGCUGUAGGCUCCAUCGUUCGAGGUGUCGGCCUGUUGGGGGCAAAACGGCGGGCGGGGCGUGGGGCGCGUGUUACCGUACUGGUCGGCCUCACAUUUAUGUUAGGCAUGUGAAGGGCUAUUUGCUGGGACAAGAUGGGGAGACGGCAUGCAUGCUCAUUCGGAAGCGUAAAGCAGCUAUGAUGCCGCUUCAAUUGCUUUCCAAUCUGUGGCUGAGACGGCUCGUGGCAUACCGAACGCUGGCUCACCUGAUAGUUCUUGCCGUAGCCCAGCAGGCGCUCAAUGAGAGACAGGUUGCGCGGCUUGAUGGCGUCACCGUGGUACAGGUGGUGGUGUCCGUCGAGGAUGGCCAGCCAGCGCUUGUCACCCUCGCGCAGGUCCAGGCCUGUGGGAAAGAAAGGAGGAGGAUGCGGUUGUGGGUAACGCACCGAGUGCCUGGCGCGAAGGAACAAUCAAGGGCAACAGACAUGCAAGCGCGAGACAUGCGCGGCCGACCUUGGAAACAACAACUCACCGGUCACAUCGGGGAUGGUGAUCAGGGUCAGGAUCACACCGGCCAGACCGCAGAAAGCGCUGAUCCAGAACUUGGUGCGGCCGUCCACAAGGCCGAACACAACACCCGCAACCAGCGCGCCGGCCUUGCCGACGGCAGCCGAGAAGCCGUGGCACAUGGAGCGGACCUCGGUUGGCGCCAGCUCGGCGGGCAGCAGCCAGGUGGUGGCGUUGGGGCCGAACUGGCCCCAGAAACUGGAGAAGUAGUACAGGAACUGGAAGGUGUGGAUGUACUUGGGAGUGCGCAGCUGAUCGUAGUGCACGGCGCAGAUGAGGAACAGAACAAACUGCAAGGGCAACGGACGACACGCGUGAAUGAUGCGCCCCCUUCAAUGGGACUCCCGCCACGCCCGACACAACACGCAGGGCGCUGAUAGUAUGAACAACGGCAAGCAGGUACACAAACAGUGCAAGUCAUUACAGGUACCGGUCUGCGGGCUGAAUUGCUGGUCUCUGCGUUGCCCUGAUCGCGCUGUUUCCAUGCACGACUCACCAUCCAUGCGAAGCCCAUGACCUGCAUGCGCAUGCGGCCCAUCCACGGCUUGUCCACCGUGAAAGCGGCAAAGUAGUAGCCAACCAGAGCCACAGAGCUGUUCAGCAGAGUCCACUCCAGGACUUGGAUUAGCGAGGCGCUGGGGUUGAUGAUCUUGAUGAAGGUGCCCUGGAACAGCUUGUUACCCUGUGGGGAUCAUGAUAGCGAACGAGGUAAGGCACGUCAACUUUGUGGGCUUGCCGACCUUCCUGUAGAGCACAGCUGUUGAUUUGAUCCCAGGUGCACCGCAAGCACGCGGGCCCGAGCCCCCAUCCGCCGCACGACUCACGUAGAAGGCGAAGUCCCACACGAACCAGCUCAUGGCGGUGCCGAAAUUGCGAUGCCAGUAGUAGUACAUCAGCAGACCGAACUUGCGCCACUGCACGCCCUUGGCCUCCGAACCUGGCAGGGAGAAUACAAACGAGGAUUGAGCCAGUGAGUUGCAGUAUCUCGAUGUAUGGACUGCAUAAGCCAAAACCCACUCUCUCGCGGCGGGACAAAACUAUGAUACCUACUACCGUCCCACUUACCGCCCAUGGCCUGAAGGGCCUCGCGCUUCUUGGUCCACACAGCCGACUCGCGAAGGCGGAAGAUACGGUAGAGCAGAAUGCUAAUGAGCGGGAUGAGGCCAAUGGCGUACGACAGACGCCACGUCACCUCCAGGGCGUGGUUGCUGUAUGGCGCGCCGUACUGCCCGAAGCCGGCCAUGAUGGCUGUAGGUUUGGGUAAGAGCAAGCAAGAAUCAUUGUGUGAGUAGGGAGACGGUGGAGUGCUGGGGCAGAAGCAGGACUGAUGCUACAAAGCAAGCGAUGGCAAUCGCGUGUGCUGCAUAGCGAGAAGAGGACUUCCUGGAGGGGAGGGAGAGAGAGGGGAGGGGAGGGAGAAGAGAACGUCAUUCAAUGCUGGAAAGACUGUGCGCUCACCAAUGAUGACGGCGGUGUUGACCACGUUGCCCCAGCCCUGCAUGGAGAACACCAGCACGACGGUCUCGCCGCGGCGCUUCUGCAGGGCGGCGCUGCUCUCAGCGCGCUCGUUGGCAGACGCAGAGGCGACCGGGUACUCGCCGCCCACACCGAUGCCGAAGAUGAACUGCACGGCCGUGAACUGUGAGGCGGGACAAAGCACGUGGAGAUGUCAGAGCAUUGGUUUGGGGUCUAGAGGGCAGCACCGCCGGGCUGGAAGCUAGGAACAGGCUGCCAAACGGAACAGGAUUGGCAAUCAGGGGGGCCCGCAAGGUGGUAGUGCUGUGGCAGCUGAAGCCAGACCGGUCAAGCGAUGUGCCGAGCCGGCCGAGCACGGUUCAACCCGACGGGCAACGCACCAUGGCCCAAAGGGCGUUCUCGGUGGGUCCGGCAGAGGAGAUAAUCAGGAUGGCACCUGCAUUUCAAGGGGUCAGGACAAAAGGGAGUUAAGUGCUGAAGGCAAGCUGCAGGUCAGGCAUGUAGGCAGGAGAUUUAGAGCGUCCCAGAAGCGCGUCGUGCGGCGAGGGUGAGACCCUGACCCCAAGCGUGACUCACCAACGACCAUGGUGCCGGCGGUGGCGACACUGCCCCAUUUGCGGCCGAUGCGGUCAGCGAAGAAGCCCAGGAACUGUAGGCAUGGGCACGCACGCAAUGAGGUGAGGAAGGGGCAGUGAGUUGGGAGAGGGGCCAGGUAGGGCCAACAUACGCCAGGAACAGUAAGGUGCCCACCAUGAAUGACCCAUGCACUGGAUGUCUCCUGUCUAUGACCCCAGUGACUUGAGGACAAUCCAACACAGCUGCCCAUUGCCAGAAUCUGAGCGCAGCAGGGCCCAGAGGGAGAGCCCACGGAACCAGUACGCACCAGCUGGCCAAAGAUGAUGCCGCACACUUGCGUGUAGGUAAUUGAUUCAGAAAGCUUGACCGGGCAGCCGAUUCCCUUCCAGCAGUUCUUGUACUCGACCUUCCACAGCGCUGACAGGUUACCGACGGCGAAGACGAAGUAGGCCUCGCAGAACUGCGAGGAGGGGGGAGGGGGGGGGGGGCGCCCAGUGAGGCAGGGAGGCACGUGCAACUGUGUGCAAGGCAGCGCACUAAAUGUUUACUGUAGGCUUGGACACGCUCCCCCGUGUGUUUAUCAACACGUGCCCCGCGCGCCGAUAGCAGUGCUACUGUUGAGCGUGG